UACGUAGGGGGCUAGCGUUGUCCGGAUUUAUUGGGCGUAAAGAGCGUGUAGGCGGCCAGGUAGGUCUGCUGUGAAAACUCGAGGCUCAACCUCGAGACGUCGGCGGAAACCAUCUGGCUAGAGUCCGGAAGAGGAGAGUGGAAUUCCUGGUGUAGCGGUGAAAUGCGCAGAUAUCAGGAAGAACACCCGUGGCGAAGGCGGCUCACUGGACUGGUAUUGACGCUGAGGUGCGAAAGCGUGGGGAGCAAACAGG
rnacentral:rRNA from 1 species